AUAAAUUAAGUAAAAUUAAAGUUGUAACCCAAAAAAUGAAAUUAGCCUUAACUUAAAUUUCUGGCUAUAACACCACCCUUCUUGGGAUGCAGACGAAGUUCAUGGUGUUCUCUGCAUCUCCAUCAUUUUGGAGCUUUUUGAGUAACUGAACUCCUUUUGUCUUCUUAUUUGGAAUAUGUGUUGUGUGUGGAUUCCUUUAGGUGUGUGGUAUUUUCCGUUUCUAAAGGAGCUUGAGAGUAGAGAUUAAAGCGGCGAUGGUGGCAAACUGGCAAUGACGAUGUGUUGCUUUCUAUGUUGGACCUGUAGACUUUUUUAUGUUUUUUCUUAGUUAGUUUAGAGCGUUUGAUAUUUAAGUCUUUAUGAGUUGGGCAGUCUGUUUUAUGUUUUUUUAUGUGUGUUAUCCAAGCCUUGUAAUCAAUGCUCUUUUCUAUUACUAGGCUUCUCUCCCUAUUUGUUCAGAGAGAGAAAACUCUCUUCGGUUUUGGUUUUCUUUGGGCAACAGACACGUUUUCUGCCGGUUUUUCGCAGCUACCCUUGCUUUAGACUCUUCCCCUCUCUCGCCCAGACGUGGAUCUUCUCCCUCUCCUCCGGGCGAGAUCGAGGGGCUUUCAAGAUUCAUGGAGGAUGGAGACAGUGGGUGCUGCAGAUUGGUCUAAAGGAGCAUCCUCUCUCUCUUUUCUCUGAGUGGUGUCUAAGAUCUAGAGGCUCUUCCAUGUUCAGGAGGCGACAGUUAGGCUCGAUUGUGGAACGACCUUCCCUUUCUUAUGCGUCUAGCUCUUCAUCUCUUUCGACUCCGACCAUGCAUGCGCUUUUCCUUCCAUCGUGACAUUCAUUCUUUUUGGUUUGAAAAGAUUUCUGACCUUGUGCCUCGUUUCUUGCUUUGCUCUUGGAUCUUCAUUUUGGUUUUUCGGCUUUAUGCCUUCUGUUAGAAGAAUAAACGUUUCUAGUAUGGUGGCUUUCAAUGGCAGUAAGAGGUCUCACCAAAAAGGAGAUCGGCGCUCUGUUCUUCAGCUAUUCGGGUCGACACACGGAUCAAACGGGUUGUGGAUUUUUAGAGUUUAAUUUUAAUAGGUUUUUUUUCUUCGUUUCUAAAAACUUUUUAUUGUAUUAUCUUUGGACUUAAGAGUCAUCUAAACCAUAAUCGAUUUGGAAAACAUUUUAUUGUAUUAUCCUUGAA